UACGAGGGGGGCAAGUGUUGUUCGGAAUCACUGGGCGUAAAGGGAGCGUAGGCGGGAGAGUAAGUUGGAUGUUUAAUUCCGGGGCCCAACCCCCGGGCUUGCAUUCAAGACUGCUUUUCUUGAAUGGGACAGAGGUCGAUGGAAUUGGAGGUGUAGCGGUGGAAUGCGUAGAUAUCUCCAAGAACACCGGUUGCGAAGGCGGUCGCUGGGUCCACAUUGACGCUGAGGCUCGAAAAGCAUGGGGAGCAAACAGG
rnacentral:rRNA from 1 species